rnacentral:rRNA from 1 species
GCCAAAAAUCUAGCCCCAACUUUCUAUAACACCUCACCCAACAUCUAACCUCAACAAACUAAAACAUUUUUACAAUUUAGUACAGGAGAUCAAAAAAUUAUUUGGCGCUACACAAGUCGUACCGUAAGGGAAAGAUGAAAUAAAAAUGAAAUAUACGCUAAAGCACAAAAAAGCAGAGACUUACACUCGUACCUUUUGCAUCAUGGUUUAACUAGUCUAAUCAAGCAAAAUGAAUUUUAGUUUGCCUCCCCGAAACUAAACGAGCUACUUCGAGGCAGCCUCAUGGGCGAACCCAUCUCUGUCGCAAAAGGGUGGGAAGACCUCCAAGUAGGGGUGACAGACCAAACGAGUUUAGUAAUAGCUGGUUAUCCAAUAAAAGGAUAUUAGUCCAACCUAAAGCUUCCCUUAUGCCCCCCAACAAGAUCCUCCGCUUUAGAGUUAUUCAAAUAAGGUACAGCCUAUUUGAAACAGGAUACAACCUACACUAAUGGGUAAUUUUUUACCUGCGCAUUUAAGUAGGCCUAAAAGCAGCCAUCUUUUUAAAAGCGUCAAAGCUUAUAUGCCACAUUAUAUAAUACCACAACUAACUUAGAACCCUUUACUACCACUGGAUAAUUCUAUAUCACUAUAGAAUCUAUUAUGUUAAAACUAGUAACAAGAAAUCCACCCUUCUCUUAAAUGCAAGCAUACGUCAGAAAGGCUCAACCACUGAUUGUUAACAUACUUGUAAACUAAGUAGCAACGCUACAAGAAAAUUCUACUUACUCAUAUGUUAUCCUAACACAAGAGCAUUUCAAGAAAGAUUAAAAGAAAAAGAAGGAACUCGGCAAAUACCAGCCUCGCCUGUUUACCAAAAACAUCGCCUCUUGAAAACANAUAAGAGGUCCAGCCUGCCCAGUGACUCAAUUCAACGGCCGCGGUAUCCUAACCGUGCGAAGGUAGCGUAAUCACUUGUUCUUUAAAUAAGGACUAGUAUGAACGGCAUCACGAAGGCUGUACUGUCUCCUUUUUCUAAUCAGUGAAACUAAUCUUCCCGUGAAGAAGCGGGAAUGAAAAUAUAAGACGAGAAGACCCUAUGGAGCUUCAAACAAACUAACACUUGCUACUAAUAAAAAAUUUUCCAGAAAAUUAACAUUAAGUAAACCACUAUGAUUACGAGUUUUCGGUUGGGGUGACCACGGAGUAUAAACCAACCUCCGAGUGGAACGGGAUUUAACCCUGAGCUAAAAGCCUCGACUUUAAGCACCAACAAAUUGACCUCCAUUGACCCAAUAUUUUGACCAACGAACCAAGUUACCCUAGGGAUAACAGCGCAAUCUACUUCAAGAGCCCCUAUCGACAAGUGGGUUUACGACCUCGAUGUUGGAUCAGGGUAUCCCAGUGGUGCAGCCGCUACUAAUGGUUCGUUUGUUCAACGAUUAAAACCCU